AUUGAACGCUGGCGGCAGGCCUAACACAUGCAAGUCGAACGGUAACAGGAAGCAGCUUGCUGCUUUGCUGACGAGUGGCGGACGGGUGAGUAAUGUCUGGGAAACUGCCUGAUGGAGGGGGAUAACUACUGGAAACGGUAGCUAAUACCGCAUAACGUCGCAAGACCAAAGAGGGGGACCUUCGGGCCUCUUGCCAUCGGAUUUGCCCAGAUGGGAUUAGCUAGUAGGUGGGGUAACGGCUCACCUAGGCGACGAUCCCUAGCUGGUCUGAGAGGAUGACCAGCCACACUGGAACUGAGACACGGUCCAGACUCCUACGGGAGGCAGCAGUGGGGAAUAUUGCACAAUGGGCGCAAGCCUGAUGCAGCCAUGCCGCGUGUAUGAAGAAGGCCUUCGGGUUGUAAAGUACUUUCAGCGGGGAGGAAGGGAGUAAAGUUAAUACCUUUGCUCAUUGACGUUACCCGCAGAAGAAGCACCGGCUAACUCCGUG
rnacentral:rRNA from 1 species